UACGUAUGGAGCGAGCGUUGUCCGGAAUUAUUGGGCGUAAAGGGUGCGCAGGCGGCUUUACAAGUUGGAUGUGAAAUAUUGUGGCUCAACCACAAACGUGCAUCCAAAACUGCAAAGCUUGAGUUAAGGAGAGGUAAGUGGAUUCCUGGUGUAGCGGUGGAAUGCGUAGAUAUCAGGAGGAUACCGGUGGCGAAGGCGACUUACUGGACUUAACUGAUGUCAGGCACGAAGCGUGGGGAGCAACAGGAUUAGAUAC
rnacentral:rRNA from 1 species